AUUGAACGCUGGCGGCAUGCCUUACACAUGCAAGUCGAACGGCAGCACGGGUGCUUGCACCUGGUGGCGAGUGGCGAACGGGUGAGUAAUACAUCGGAACAUGUCCUGUAGUGGGGGAUAGCCCGGCGAAAGCCGGAUUAAUACCGCAUACGAUCUACGGAUGAAAGCGGGGGACCUUCGGGCCUCGCGCUAUAGGGUUGGCCGAUGGCUGAUUAGCUAGUUGGUAGGGUAAAGGCCUACCAAGGCGACGAUCAGUAGCUGGUCUGAGAGGACGACCAGCCACACUGGGACUGAGACACGGCCCAGACUCCUACGGGAGGCAGCAGUGGGGAAUUUUGGACAAUGGGCGAAAGCCUGAUCCAGCAAUGCCGCGUGUGUGAAGAAGGCCUUCGGGUUGUAAAGCACUUUUGUCCGGAAAGAAAUCCUUGGCUCUAAUACAGUCGGGGGAUGACGGUACCGGAAGAAUAAGCACCGGCUAACUACGUG
rnacentral:rRNA from 1 species